UGGGGAAUUUUGGACAAUGGGCGAAAGCCUGAUCCAGCAAUGCCGCGUGUGUGAAGAAGGCCUUCGGGUUGUAAAGCACUUUUGUCCGGAAAGAAAUCCUUGGCUCUAAUACAGUCGGGGGAUGACGGUACCGGAAGAAUAAGCACCGGCUAACUACGUGCCAGCAGCCGCGGUAAUACGUAGGGUGCAAGCGUUAAUCGGAAUUACUGGGCGUAAAGCGUGCGCAGGCGGUUUGCUAAGACCGAUGUGAAAUCCCCGGGCUCAACCUGGGAACUGCAUUGGUGACUGGCAGGCUAGAGUAUGGCAGAGGGGGGUAGAAUUCCACGUGUAGCAGUGAAAUGCGUAGAGAUGUGGAGGAAUACCGAUGGCGAAGGUAGCCCCCUGGGCCAAUACUGACGCUCAUGCACGAAAGCGUGGGGAGCAAACAGGAUUAGAUACCCUGGUAGUCCACGCCCUAAACGAUGUCAACUAGUUGUUGGGGGAUUCAUUUCCUUAGUAACGUAGCUAACGCGUGAAGUUGACCGCCUGGGGAGUACGGUCGCAAGAUUAAAACUCAAAGGAAUUGACGGGGUCAUAGCUGUUUCCU
rnacentral:rRNA from 1 species